CGAGGAGUGGAACCCCGCGUGGAGGCCAUUUAAGCUAGGUGGUUGCGCUAUAGUCACCAUGGCACGAUGCGUAGGCGACUUGAGAGGGGUGAUCGACCACCACUGGGACUGAGAACACGUUCCAGACUCUUACCGGGAAGGCAGCAGUAGGGAUCUCGCAAUGAACGAAAGUUCUAACGGAGCACGCUGCGUGAGUGAUGAAGGUUUUCGGAUCGUAAAGCUCUGUGUUAGGGAAGAACAAGUGCGAGAGUAACUGCUCGCACUGACGGUACCUAACCAGAAAGGCCACGGCUAACUACGUGCCAGCAGCCGCGGUAAUACGUAGGUGGCAAGCGUUGUCCGGAAAUUAUUGGGCGUAAAGGGCUCGCAGGCGGUUUUCUUAAGUCUGAUGUGAAAGCCCCCGGCUCAACCGGGGAGGGUCAUUGGAAACUGGGAAACUUGAGUGCAGAAGAGGAGAGUGGAAUUCCACGUGUAGCGGUGAAAUGCGUAGAGAUGUGGAGGAACACCAGUGGCGAAGGCGACUCUCUGGUCUGUAACUGACGCUGAGGAGCGAAAGCGUGGGGAGCGAACAGGAUUAGAUACCCUGGUAGUCCACGCCGUAAACGAUGAGUGCUAAGUGUUAGGGGGUUUCCGCCCCUUAGUGCUGCAGCUAACGCAUUAAGCACUCCGCCUGGGGAGUACGGUCGCAAGACUGAAACUCAAAGGAAUUGACGGGGGCCCGCACAAGCGGUGGAGCAUGUGGUUUAAUUCGAAGCAACGCGAAGAACCUUACCAGGUCUUGACAUCCUCUGACAACCCUAGAGAUAGGGCUUUCCCUUCGGGGACAGAGUGACAGGUGGUGCAUGGUUGUCGUCAGCUCGUGUCGUGAGAUGUUGGGUUAAGUCCCGCAACGAGCGCAACCCUUGAUCUUAGUUGCCAGCAUUCAGUUGGGCACUCUAAGGUGACUGCCGGUGACAAACCGGAGGAAGGUGGGGAUGACGUCAAAUCAUCAUGCCCCUUAUGACCUGGGCUACACACGUGCUACAAUGGACAGAACAAAGGGCUGCAAGACCGCAAGGUUUAGCCAAUCCCAUAAAUCUGUUCUCAGUUCGGAUCGCAGUCUGCAACUCGACUGCGUGAAGCUGGAAUCGCUAGUAAUCGCGGAUCAGCAUGCCGCGGUGAAUACGUUCCCGGGCCUUGUACACACCGCCCGUCACACCUCGAGAGUUUGCAACACCCGACGUCGGUGAGGUAACCUUUAUGGAGCCAGCCGCCGAACGGGGGCCCACU
rnacentral:rRNA from 1 species